CAGGCUUAACACAUGCAAGUCGAGGGGCAGCAUUUUAGUUUGCUUGCAAACUGAAGAUGGCGACCGGCGCACGGGUGAGUAACACGUAUCCAACCUGCCGAUAACUCCGGAAUAGCCUUUCGAAAGAAAGAUUAAUACCGGAUAGCAUACGAAUAUCGCAUGAUAUUUUUAUUAAAGAAUUUCGGUUAUCGAUGGGGAUGCGUUCCAUUAGUUUGUUGGCGGGGUAACGGCCCACCAAGACUACGAUGGAUAGGGGUUCUGAGAGGAAGGUCCCCCACAUUGGAACUGAGACACGGUCCAAACUCCUACGGGAGGCAGCAGUGAGGAAUAUUGGUCAAUGGGCGAGAGCCUGAACCAGCCAAGUAGCGUGAAGGAUGAAGGCUCUAUGGGUCGUAAACUUCUUUUAUAUGGGAAUAAAGUUUUCCACGUGUGGAAUUUUGUAUGUACCAUAUGAAUAAGGAUCGGCCAACUCCGUGCCAGCAGCCGCGGUAAUACGGAGGAUCCGAGCGUUAUCCGGAUUUAUUGGGUUUAAAGGGAGCGUAGGUGGAUUGUUAAGUCAGUUGUGAAAGUUUGCGGCUCAACCGUAAAAUUGCAGUUGAAACUGGCAGUCUUGAGUACAGUAGAGGUGGGCGGAAUUCGUGGUGUAGCGGUGAAAUGCUUAGAUAUCACGAAGAACUCCGAUUGCGAAGGCAGCUCACUAGACUGUCACUGACACUGAUGCUCGAAAGUGUGGGUAUCAAACAGGAUUAGAUACCCUGGUAGUCCACACAGUAAACGAUGAAUACUCGCUGUUUGCGAUAUACAGUAAGCGGCCAAGCGAAAGCAUUAAGUAUUCCACCUGGGGAGUACGCCGGCAACGGUGAAACUCAAAGGAAUUGACGGGGGCCCGCACAAGCGGAGGAACAUGUGGUUUAAUUCGAUGAUACGCGAGGAACCUUACCCGGGCUUAAAUUGCAACAGAAUAUAUUGGAAACAGUAUAGCCGUAAGGCUGUUGUGAAGGUGCUGCAUGGUUGUCGUCAGCUCGUGCCGUGAGGUGUCGGCUUAAGUGCCAUAACGAGCGCAACCCUUAUCUUUAGUUACUAACAGGUUAUGCUGAGGACUCUAGAGAGACUGCCGUCGUAAGAUGUGAGGAAGGUGGGGAUGACGUCAAAUCAGCACGGCCCUUACGUCCGGGGCUACACACGUGUUACAAUGGGGGGUACAGAAGGCGGCUACCUGGUGACAGGAUGCUAAUCCCAAAAACCUCUCUCAGUUCGGAUCGAAGUCUGCAACCCGACUUCGUGAAGCUGGAUUCGCUAGUAAUCGCGCAUCAGCCAUGGCGCGGUGAAUACGUUCCCGGGCCUUGUACACACCGCCCGUCAAGCCAUGAAAGCCGGGGGUACCUGAAGUACGUAACCGCAAGGAGCGUCCUAGGGUAAAACUGGUAAUUGGGGC
rnacentral:rRNA from 1 species